rnacentral:rRNA from 1 species
CCGAGUGAUUUCUGCUAAAGAAAUCUUUUGCCAGUCAUAAAACCACUAGUGAAUAAGGGGUGGGCAAGUUCUGGUGUCAGCCGCCGCGGUAAAACCAGCACCUCAAGUGGUCAGGAGGAUUAUUGGGCCUAAAGCAUCCGGAGCCGGCUCUGUAAGUUUUCGGUUAAAUCUAUGUGCUCAACGUAUAGGCUGCCGAAAAUACUGCAGGGCUAGGGAGUGGGAGAGGUAGACGGUACUCGGUAGGAAGGGGUAAAAUCCUUUGAUCUAUCGAUGACCACCUGUGGCGAAGGCGGUCUACCAGAACACGUUCGACGGUGAGGGAUGAAAGCUGGGGGAGCAAACCGGAUUAGAUACCCGGGUAGUCCCAGCUGUAAACGAUGCAGACUCGAUGAUGCAUUGGCAUAUAGCCAGUGCAGUGUCGCAGGGAAGCCGUUAAGUCUGCCGCCUGGGAAGUACGUACGCAAGUAUGAAACUUAAAGGAAUAGGCGGGGGAGC